CGAAAUGCGAUAAGUAAUGUGAAUUGCAGAAUUCAGUGAAUCAUCGAAUCUUUGAACGCACCUUGCGCUCCUUGGUAUUCCUUGGAGCAUGCCUGUUUGAGUAUCAUGAAAUCUUCAAAGUAAAUCUUUUGUUAACUCAAUUGGUUUCUACCUUGGUAUUGGAGGUCUUUGCAGCUUCACACCUGCUCCUCUUUGUUCAUUAGCUGGAUCUCAGUGUUAUGCUUGGUUCCACUCGGCGUGAUAAGUUAUCUAUCGCUGAGGACACUGUAAAAGGUGGCCAAGGUAAAUGCAGAUGAACCGCUUCUAAUAGUCCAUUGACUUGGACAAUACUUUUAUGAUCUGAUCUCAAAUCAGGUAGGACUACCCGCUGAACUUAAGC
rnacentral:misc_RNA from 1 species